AUCAAAUUGAGGGGAUUCAUUUAUCUGGUGGCGCAAUCCAAGUCCUCUCUCUAAGUGACUAAACCAGCCAAAUACACGGAGGCUGGACAGCGAUUAUGAAAAGGUCUUGGAUAGCAGAUUGGGCAACACAAGGCUUGUUGGUCAAGACCCGUCCAUAGUUCGUUAACAGUGUACCUGUGAGGCUAUUUAACUCUGUGUAUUUCCCCGAAGCGCCCCUGUGCUGGCUCAGAUACAGCCUGAAAGACUUAUUUUUGAAGUGAACUUCAUCGCAUGUUUCACCAGUGCCCUCUCCUGUCACAGAGCUGGAAUCAAACAGCGCUGACACGGAGUGGGUUUCACAGCAUCUCCGUAUCCCUUUCCCCACGGGGAGGCUGAAGCUGCAGGCAGAGCGGGCUCAGAGAGGUGAAGGAGAGCUUGCCCAGCCAGUCUCCGAGAGAGGGGGACCCCCAGAAGCGGCGCUGGGUGGGUGGGCUUCUCCGUCAGAGGCACUGAGAUCUGGGCACAUUACCGGUUCCUGCAGUGGGCAUACCAGCGGCUCCAGGAGAGGGCGAGAUGAACGCGAUCAAGGGGAUCUUCCCAACCCAGUCUCCCGCAUUGCAGGCAGACUCUUUAUCAUCUGAGCCACCAGGAAUUCCCAUCCUGCCUUUUGUGUGUGGCAUGGAGCACAGGCGCUAACCAACAGACAUUGCAAAGGAUGCGUUCGGCUGGUAGAAGAUAAAAUUAACACCCACCGCAUUCACCUUCUCCUUGGACUAUUUUGAGCUGCCUGAUCUAAUGGACUCUUCAUGCAGUGCGAAUCACAGUAAACCUUUGUAAAUAUAUGUGACCAAUCAUGAGCAAAAUGUAUUAAUCUAACAAAAGUAACUGAAACUCUGAGCACUGUGAUAAGAACUACAAAGAUUCUUAUUCCUACAAGUUUUAAACAGUUCUUUGGUAUAUUAUUUGAUAAGUGACUUUUUAGAAAUGAAAUUCAAUCUCCUCUAAAUGACAUUCAGAGUCUUCAGACGUCUAUCCCACCUGUCUUUCCAUUUUAUCCCCAGCUUACCUUUCAAAUUCACCCACCCUCUGCUUCAGUCAGAGUGUCCUUCACUCUUACCUUAACACAAUUUUUUUUCCCACCUCCGAACCUUUUCACACACUAUUAUCUUUGACUCCAUUAUCCUUUCUAUCGUCUAUACCUGAUAAAGCUAAGCUGUUUAUAGCCACAGUUCCACAGACUGUAUAGUGAGUGUCUAUGUAAGAUUUUACACUGAAAAGACAUUGGUUCAUCUUUAAGGUCAACCUACCUUCUUUUCCUCUCUGCUGCCAUUUUAACUCAAGGCCAAGCCACUGGUAGAAUUAUACCUGUUGUUUGUAUUAUUUUUAUUGGGUGGGGGUUAUUUCCAAAACACCGUACAUACUUGUUUGCUUUCCUGAGAAAAGUCAAUCAUCAGCCUCACUUCUCUGAAACCUAGCAAAACCCCAGGUCCACUUCUGGCUCUUCCUGUAAAGCCUUGCUAGCCUAGGCCGGUCAGAGAGCUUCUCAGAGUAGUAGUAACGGCCGGGCAUGCAACACUUGAGUAUUAGCACCCAAAAAAGUGAUACAUGUGCGAACACUUGAAAACUAACAUUUCAUGUUUGUAACUAUUCUUACUUUAAACAGUUGACUGAAUAACUCUAAGAGCUAUGGAGUUUCCACGCAGGAAAGAAAUUCAGUGUCAUUUA